AAAACGUAGGAACUAAUGGAGGAGUAGGGGAUGUUGGGACUUGGGGGGAGGGUCUGGCCCCCUGUAAGGCAGGGACAAGACCCUGCACCUUCUGGAGAAAUCUCCCUGAGUUCUUGUAGUGGAAUCCCUGAAAUCCCCAGAUCUUGGCUCUGGUCAGGGACCAGCACUCUUUCCCUUGGCUGCCGGGACUGAAGGGGUUUGGCCCCAGCCUGGUGCCUUCGGGAGCUGGGGCUGAGGGGCCAGAGAGGGAACCUCCCAUUGGAAAGACCCGAAGCUGAGCCUGGCUGUGCCGACGUGGACACACAUCUGGGAUUCUGCCACCAUCUUGGUCCUGGGCCUCCAUCACUUCAAAUUUGGACUUCUAAAAUUACCUUCUGGCAGUACAGCGACACUGACCUCCUUACAUACAACACUCCAUAUCUGACUCAACGGCUUCUGUACCUGCGAGCAUCUCUCAACUUCCACCUCCUGCUUUCUCCAAGACUAAAUCCUACCUUGUGUAAGAGAUCUGUCCUGGUUCUC